UGAGAAACAGAAGAAGAAAA
rnacentral:miRNA from 1 species